CAAUAGCGUAUAUUAAAGUUGUUGCAGUUAGAACGCUCGUAGUCGGAUUUCGGGGCGGGCCGACCGGUCUGCCGAUGGGUACGCACUGGUCGGCGCGUCCUUCCUUCCGGAGACCGUGCCUACUCUUAACUGAGCGGGGGCGGGAGACGGAUCGUUUAAUUUGAAAAAAUCAGAGUGUUUCAAGCAGGCAGCUCGCUCUUGCAUGGAUUAGCAUGGGAUAAUGAAAUAGGACUUUGGUGCUAUUUUGUUGGUUUCGAACACCGAAGUAAUGAUUAAAAGGGACAGUCAGGGGCACUCGUAUUCCGCAGAGAGAGGUGAAAUUCUCAGACCCGCGGAAGACGAACCACUGCGAAAGCAUUUGCCAGGGAUGUUUUCACUGA
rnacentral:rRNA from 1 species